GAUGAAGAACGUAGCGUAAUGCGAUACGUAAUGUGAAUUGCAGAAUUCAGUGAAUCAUCGAGUCUUUGAACGCACAUUGCGCCCCCUGGUAUUCCGGGGGGCAUGCCUGUCCGAGCGUCAUUGCUGCCCUCAAGCCCGGCUUGUGUGUUGGGUCUCGUCCCCCUUCCCGGGGGGACGGGCCCGAAAGGCAGCGGCGGCACCGCGUCCGGUCCUCGAGCGUAUGGGGCUUUGUCACCCGCUCUGUAGGCCCGGCCGGCGCUUGCCGAUCAACCAAAACUUUUUUCCAGGUUGACCUCGGAUCAGGUAGGGAUACCCGCUGAACUUAAGCAUAUCAAUAAGCGGAGGA
rnacentral:misc_RNA from 1 species